UGCUCCCAUUUGCUUAAAUGAAUUUCGACAACAUAUAAUGAUGACGUCUAUAUGAGCCCCGUUCUGUGAAAAGUAGGGUUCAUGCACGUGCGUAAAUUGUCGUCCCAGAUUAGCCUGUGCAGUCCGCACAAGCUAAUCAGGAACGACACUUUCCACGUUUGUUGAAUUUUUUCGUUAGAAUAACGUCUCUUUUAAACGAAAUUUCAGUGUGGAAACUGUCGUCACUGAUUAGCCUCUGCGGACUGCACACUCUACGCAAUGCGUUAAGCCCAGUCUUUCUCAGAACGCGGCUCAUAUAAAUAAUCCAUUAAUUACAGUUUUGUUUUCAAAUAUUUUUUAUUGAGUUUAUUUUAUGUAAUUAUACUUUCUACACUUAAAACGUCCAUAUUUUUGUAAAAUGUUGCAUUCCCCCUGAAAAUUAUUCGAUACUUAAGAUACGUUCAUGAUCAAUUUGAUUACAAAACAGUCCAAUUAAGUAAACAUUUCAAAAAUAACAAAAUAUCGUGCGUCAUACUUGCAAACGUUAUACUCAACAGAAGGUGGCCUGCAAUGCAAACACGAGGUUUUACGAAGCAGACAACAGAUCAGUGGUCAUGGAAAUUUACGAUAAGUUUUACUUGUUUGACCUUGAAAAAAUGGACGUCAGCAUCGUGUUUCUGGGUCGAGUAGUCGAUACACGAGUGUUUAUCUUGACCAAACGGAAGCAACUCCUCGUGACGUCACGUUUUGUCACGUUUUGGCAAGAACGUGAAACUGUACAACAUCACAAACUGCUGCAUUGACGACAUAAUAAAAACUGGGCACAAGAAGGAGAUCUACCAAGUUGUCGUGAACGAUCCGGGAAGUCUCGCUGCAGUGACGGUAGUUUUUGGACCUGUAGUGUUGAUGGAUCUUGUCACUCACUCUCGCAUGUAUGAGAUCUCAAACAGUACGUUCAGCAGAUGCGAAAGUAUUUUUACCUCUCAGAAUUAAAC